GGAGGCUGAAAGAAAGGGUGUCUCCUGGAUCUGUCUCUUGCUUCAACAGUGUUUGGAUGGAAAGACCCAGGGACGCCCGUUCUUCCAGUCUCCAGCCACUCUCCUGCGUCUCACCCAGUCACCACCUUCAGAACCACCUCCAGGACCAGCCAAUACACCAGUGUUUUUGCUGAACAACCAUGAGCUCCCAAAUUCGUCAGAAUUGUUCCACCCAGGUGAAGGCUUCGGUCAAUCACCUGGCCAACCUUCAUCUGCGGGCCUCCUACACCUACCUCUCUCUGGGCUACUAUUUUAAUCUUGAGGAUGUGGCUUGGGAG